GGGGAAUAUUGCGCAAUGGGGGAAACCCUGACGCAGCAACGCCGCGUGCGGGAUGAAGGCCUUCGGGUUGUAAACCGCUUUCAGUAGGGACGAUUGUGACGGUACCUACAGAAGAAGCCCCGGCCAACUACGUGCCAGCAGCCGCGGUAACACGUAGGGGGCGAGCGUUGUCCGGAUUUAUUGGGCGUAAAGAGCUCGUAGGCGGCUCAGUAAGUCGGGUGUGAAAACUCCAGGCUCAACCUGGAGACGCCACCCGAUACUGCUGUGGCUAGAGUCCGGUAGGGGAGCAUGGAAUUCCUGGUGUAGCGGUGAAAUGCGCAGAUAUCAGGAGGAACACCAGUGGCGAAGGCGGUGCUCUGGGCCGGUACUGACGCUGAGGAGCGAAAGCGUGGGGAGCAAAC
rnacentral:rRNA from 1 species